ACAGUAUCUGGGCUCAGGUGGGACCACCCGCUGAACUUAAGCAUAUCACUAAGCGGAGGAAAAGAAACUAACUAGGAUGGCCUCAGUAACGGCGAGUGAAGCGGCCAGAGCCCAAGAUGGUAAUCUCCGUGCUGUGCACGGCGAAUUGUAAUCUAGAGAGGCUAUGCUCACCGGGUGGUGGCGCAGAAGUGCCCUGGAACGGGCCGCCAGAGAGGGUGACAGCCCCGUACGUGGCGCCGCCGCCUAACGAGCAGGUCUUCAAAGAGUCGGGUUGUUUUGUAUUGCAGCCCUAAGUGGGAGAUAAACUUCUUCUAAGGCUAAAUAUAUGUGGGAAACCGAUAGCGAACAAGUACUGUGAAGGAAAGAUGAAAAGCACUUUGGAAAGAGAGUCAAAAGACCUGAAACCGUUGAGGAGGAAGCGGUAGAGAUGAAUUCUACGGCGAGGCGCUGGGAAGGCGGCCUAACCAUGGCGCGCAGGUCGUACGUCAAAGGCGGCAGUGUGUCCAAGGGGAAGCCGGUGACUUGCGCGGCGUCGUGAGGCCGGAUGGGGUGACGUGAUCACAGAGGCCUGCUGGGCCUGGCUCGACCCGUCGGGCAGCCCAGGAGUGCCGGUGGCCGCGUGGCCUGAGGGUGCUUUGUGCGAUCCGGUCAAAAUGGUCUUUACCGACCCGUCUUGAAACACGGACCAAGGAGUCUAA
rnacentral:rRNA from 1 species